GAUGAACGCUGGCGGCGUGCCUAAUACAUGCAAGUCGAGCGAACAGACGAGGAGCUUGCUCCUCUGACGUUAGCGGCGGAAGGGUGAGUAACACGUGGAUAACCUACCUAUAAGACUGGGAUAACUUCGGGAAACCGGAGCUAAUACCGGAUAAUAUAUUGAACCGCAUGGUUCAAUAGUGAAAGACGGUUUUGCUGUCACUUAUAGAUGGAUCCGCGCCGCAUUAGCUAGUUGGUAAGGUAACGGCUUACCAAGGCAACGAUGCGUAGCCGACCUGAGAGGGUGAUCGGCCACAGUGGAACUGAGACACGGUCCAGACUCCUACGGGAGGCAGCAGUAGGGAAUCUUCCGCAAUGGGCGGAAGCCUGACGGAGCAGCGCCGCGUGAGUGAUGAAGGUCUUCGGAUCGUAAAACUCUGUUAUUAGUGAAGAACAAAUGUGUAAGGAACUAUGCACGUCUUGACGGUACCUAAUCAGAAAGCCACGGCUAACUACGUG
rnacentral:rRNA from 1 species